AAAAAAUGUUCUUGGUCCGAACUGCUGUUAUUUUACUACUUCUAACAUCUCUAUGCUGCGGACAAACAAAAAAAACAAGAAGAACGGGUAAGACGAAAACAACAACACCAAGUAGUACCACAGCCCUUGGACUAAUAUAUUAUAAUAAAGCCGGUGUAACUCAGUGGAUGCGAGAAUACUUCAAACCUCCCGUAAACGAAACCGUGGUGCUGCCCCCUCUAGAGAAAAUAAAGAAUUGUAACGAAUGUCCAAGAAUUUAUAUUCCUGUAUGUGCUUCUAAUAAGAGAUCUUACAAUAAUAUAUGCUAUAUGAAUUGCUGGGGAAUACUUGCAAAUAAAACCGUAAAAUUGCUGCACAUGGGUAAUUGCUAUUCUGUGUUGGACGACUAUGAUGAUGAGAAGUAAUGUAAUAUGACAAAUAAUCAAGAUGUUAAUAUAAUAAUUUCUGAUGUGCUAACUCUUCUAUUAGUAACUUUUCUCGAAACAGAAACAAAACCACUAUCGAAAUAUUACAAAACACCAUCUAUAGAAACCUGGAAAGCCUCAGUCUUGAAAUUCAUUAAGGACGAAGCUCUGCCGAUUCUGGGCGAACCAUCAGCCUGUGAAGAUUGCCCUAAAGUGUAUCUACCAGUAUGCGCAGUGAAUGGAAGAUCCUUCGCGAAUAAAUGCUUUAUGGUGUGCGAUAAUUUCAAGAAUAAUGAUGGUCAAGAAACUAGCGUUGACUAUAUGGGCGCAUGCCAUGACUAUAGGCUUACCUGGG